GACGAACGCUGGCGGCGUGCUUAACACAUGCAAGUCGAACGGAAAGGCCCUGCUUUUGUGGGGUGCUCGAGUGGCGAACGGGUGAGUAACACGUGAGUAACCUUCCCUUUACUUUUGGAUAACUUCAGGAAACUGGGGCUAAUACCGGAUAGGAGCUCCUGCUGCAUGGUGGGGGUUGGAAAGUUUCGGCGGUUGGGGAUGGACUCGCGGCUUAUCAGCUUGUUGGUGGGGUAGUGGCUUACCAAGGCUUUGACGGGUAGCCGGCCUGAGAGGGUGACCGGCCACAUGGGGACUGAGAUACGGCCCAGAAGCCUACGGGAGGCAGCAGUGGGGAAUAUUGCACAAUGGGCGGAAGCCUGAUGCAGCAACGCCGCGUGCGGGAUGACGGCCUUCGGGUUGUAAACCGCUUUCGCCUGUGACGAAGCGUGAGUGACGGUAAUGGGUAAAGAAGCACCGGCUAACUACGUG
rnacentral:rRNA from 1 species